AGAACGAACGCUGGCGGCAUGCCUAACACAUGCAAGUCGAACGAGACCUUCGGGUCUAGUGGCGCACGGGUGCGUAACGCGUGGGAAUCUGCCCAAAGGUUCGGAAUAACUCGGGGAAACCCGAGCUAAUACCGGAUGAUGUCUUCGGACCAAAGAUUUAUCGCCUUUGGAUGAGCCCGCGUCGGAUUAGCUUGUUGGUGGGGUAAAGCCUACCAAGGCGACGAUCCGUAGCUGGUCUGAGAGGAUGAUCAGCCACACUGGGACUGAGACACGGCCCAGACUCCUACGGGAGGCAGCAGUGGGGAAUAUUGGACAAUGGGCGAAAGCCUGAUCCAGCAAUGCGCGUGAGUGAUGAAGGCCCUAGGGUUGUAAAGCUCUUUUACCCGGGAUGAUAAUGACAGUACCGGAGAAUAAGCCCCGGCUAACUCCGUGCCAGCAGCCGC
rnacentral:rRNA from 1 species